rnacentral:antisense_RNA from 1 species
AGCGCCCGGCACAGCCCGGACCCUGGUGUAAAGUCGGGCAUCUGCGCAGUAAACAUCUGGCCUCGGAGCUGUCCUCCACGCCUUGGCUGCCCCAGCCAGGGGAAGGAUAUGCGGAGGGCUCUAGGUCAAAGCGGGCGUUUUUGCGGGUGUAGACACUGCGGCGCCUGGGCCUGCAGGAGGGGCAGAUUUUCAGAUGGCCGAGACAGGUGAAGGCAGAGAUGAGUGGCUGUCCACCUGGGGAAGCAUCCUGAAAACAUCACACACAGUGGACCAUGCUUUGCCCUCAGAGUGACUGCUCUGACCCAGAAGGAGAGGUCAACGACCCCUCAGGACGCAAAGGGUUUCUUAGGUUGCUCUGCACAGUCACAUGGCUUCCAGAACCAGAACGUUCAGCUCUUAAAGUCUGCACAGAAGAACUGAUAGAAUCUGCUCCUUUCAAUGGAAUCUGUGACUGUUUGGGAAGGAUGUGCAAGGAGAAGAGUCUGAUGAGGCUCCUGAUCCAGGCGGUCCAUGUGUGUUCAGUGUGUUCUGACCCUAGGCACCUCUGUCUAUUGCUCGGUCUUACGUACAUAGUCCAUAGCUUGGCAUCAGCACAAAUUGAUGCUUAGUGAGCACAAUUAAGAAACCAAACUAUGGAAAAUUAAGGACAGUAACAAAAGUAUCAUCAACAAAAAUCAAGCAUUUUCCUCUUUUUGAAACAAGAAAAGCGCAUCGUAGAAACAAAGAUUCUGUACAAUAUUCUAACAUUAUAUGUACAUAAAAUUAUAUUACUCAUAAC